rnacentral:rRNA from 1 species
UACGUAGGGUGCGAGCGUUUGUCCGGAAUUAUUGGGCGUAAAGAGCUUGUAGGUGGUUUGUCGCGUCUGCUGUGAAAAUCCGAGGCUCAACCUCGGACUUGCAGUGGGUACGGGCAGACUAGAGUGUGGUAGGGGAGACUGGAAUUCCUGGUGUAGCGGUGGAAUGCGCAGAUAUCAGGAGGAACACCGAUGGCGAAGGCAGGUCUCUGGGCCAUUACUGACAC